rnacentral:tRNA from 1 species
GCCUUGAUGGUGUAGUGGUCAGCACGCUCGACGCGUAACCGAGAGGUCCGUGGUUCGAGUCCCGACGAAGGCG